rnacentral:rRNA from 1 species
AAUUUUGGACAAUGGGGGCAACCCUGAUCCAGCCAUCCCGCGUGUGCGAUGAAGGCCUUCGGGUUGUAAAGCACUUUUGGCAGGGAAGAAAAGGCUCUGGUUAAUACCUGGAGCCGCUGACGGUACCUGCAGAAUAAGCACCGGCUAACUACGUGCCAGCAGCCGCGGUAAUACGUAGGGUGCAAGCGUUAAUCGGAUUUACUGGGCGUAAAGCGUGCGUAGGCGGCUUUUUAAGCCGGAUGUGAAAUCCCUGAGCUUAACUUAGGAAUUGCAUUCGAUACUGGAAAGCUAGAGUAUGGGAGAGGAUGGUAGAAUUCCACGUGUAGCAGUGAAAUGCGUAGAGAUGUGGAGGAACACCGAUGGCGAAGGCAGCCCCCUGGGCCGAUACUGACGCUCAUGCACGAAAGCGUGGGUAGCAAACAGG